rnacentral:piRNA from 1 species
UCAAGGAAACCCUAGUGGAUGUGGUGGAC